GGUUGGGUUGGGUUGAGUUGGGUUGUGUUGGGUUUUGUUGGGUUGGUUGAGUUGGGUUGGGUUUUGUUGGGUUGAGUUGGGUUGGAUGGAUUGACCGAGGUUGGGUUGGGUGGGCCCAGGUUGGGUUGGGUUGAGUUGGGUUAGAUUGCAUUGGUUUGGGUGGGUUUGGUUUGGUUUGGUUUUGUUGAGUGUGUGGGUUUGGUUGGGUUUGGUUGGGUUGGAUUGAGUUGGGUUGGAUUGAGUUGGGUUCAUUGGGUUGACUCAGGUUGGGUUGGGUUGGUUGGAUUGGGUUGGGUUUGGUUGUGUUGGAUUGGAUUGGGUUGGUUGAGUUGGGUUGGGUUGGGUUGGGUUGAUUGAUUGGGUUUAUUUAUUGGUCGGGUUGAUUCACUGGGUUGAUUUGAUUGAUUGGUUGAUUGGGUUGGCUGAUUGAGUGAUUGGUUGGUUGGAUUGGCUUGAUUGGUUGGGCUGAUUCAUUGGGUUGAUUGGGCUGAUUUAUUGGGUUGAUUGGGUUGAUUCGUUGGGUUGAUUGAUUGGAUCAGUUGUGUUGAUUGAUUGGAUCAAUUGUGUGGAUUGAUUGGUUGAUUGAUUGGAUCAAUUGGGUUGAUUGAUUGGUUGGGUUGGUUUGGUUGAUUGGAUCAAUCAGGUUGAUUGAUCAAUCAGACUGAUUGAUUGAUUGAUUGAUAGACUGCCACCGCGGGGCGCUGACCUGGAAGCAGGUCAUGGUGGAGCCGGCGUGGGGGUUGAUUGGGUUUAUUGAUCGGGUUUACUGGUCAGGUUAAUUGAUUGGGUUGACUGAUCGAUCGAUCGAUCAAUCGAUCGGAUCGAUGGAUCGGCACGGCGGGGCGCUGACCUGGAAGAAGGUCAUGGUGGAGCCGGCGUGGAUGGUGCCGUACUCGAUGUUGGUCUGGUCGGCGAGGUCGUCGGCCGACUCCACCGGCACCUCCAUGCGCUGCACGGUCAGGAACGCCGCCAGGUUGGCCGUGUACGACGAGAUGAUGAUGAGGGUGAAGGCCCACCUGCCCCCCCAAAAAAAAUCACCGGAAACGUCAAAAACAAAAUUAUUCCAAAAAUCCAAAACGAAGGACCCCAAAAAUCCCACAAAAAACUGCUCCAAACCCCACAGAAAUCGCCCCAAAAAUUUAAAAAAAAUCGCC
rnacentral:lncRNA from 1 species